UCAUGUGUGUACUGGUUUGUACGUAUGUUCACAUGUGCAGAUAUGGAGACCAAUGGUCAGCCUCAAUUGUCAUCUUCAGGAGCUGGCCACCUGAGUUUUCGAGAUAGGGUCUCCUGCUCAGACCAGGGGCUCAGUACUUUGAGGCUAGGCUGGCUGGUCUGUCAGCCUCUGGGAUCACUGUGUUCUUCCCUUUCCUGAGAUGAGAUUGCAGAUACAGGCCACCGUGAAUUUUUUUUUUUCAAAUGGGCCCUGGGGAUCAAACUCAAAUCCUCAUGCCUGCCCAGCAAGCACAUUACCAACUCAGCCGUCUCCUCAGCCCCACAGUGGGACUCCUUGCUUCCCACCACCUUUCUGAAUUCUUUCUUGGUAAGUUGCACAUUGAUGUAUAGAAAGGCGCAGGUUUGUGUAUGCCGUUACUUUGCUAAGUUUACGUCAGGUCUAAAUUUUCUGGUAGUGUAUUUGGCUCAUUUAAGUACAGGGUCCUGUUCUCUGCAAAUAGGAUCCCUUUUGUAACUUUUUAAUUUCUUGGUUUUUGUUGUUUUUUGUUUGGUUUUAGAGACAGGGUUUCUCUGUGUAUUCCUGACUAUCCUGGAACUCAUUCUGUAGACCAGGCUAUCCUGAAACCCAGAGAUCGGCCUGCCUCUGCCUCCUGGGGACUAAAGGUGUGUGCUACCGACCAGCUUAGUUUCUUGUCUUAUUACAUCUAGCUAAAAUGUAACAUUCUACUGAGGGGCAGUGAUAAGAUGUAACAUUCUACUGAAGGGCAGUGAACAUGGGCAACUUUGUCUUAGUCCUUAGUUUAAACAUUGACUAUAAUGUUGCCUAGAAGUCUAACCUAAAUGGUCAUUUGAUUUUGAGGCAGGAUCUCUCUUGUAGCCCUGACUGGCCUGGAACUCAAAGAGAUCUUCCUGCCUCUGCCUCCCUAGUGCUGGGCUUUAAGGCCUGUGCCAGCUCGCCAGCCAUAUAUAGUUUUGAUUAUGUUAAGAUAUAUUUCCUCUAUCCCUUUUUUACUUCAGGUUUUUUUUUUUUCUCAGAAAGGGAUGUUGAACUCUGCCAAAGUCUACCCUGUCUAUCAAGAUGGUGGCCGUCUUCAGGUCUAUUCACAAGCUUGCAUUUGAGUUCAUUGAACCAAGACUGCACCCUUAGGAUGGAUGCAACUCUGACAUGAUGCAUGAUCAUUCUAGUUUUACGUUUUAAUUAAUUAAUUAGGUUAAUAUGGACAUAGAGUCCAUAUUGCUUGUGUUGACCUUAAACUCACACUACAUGUCUAAAUUGGCUUUGAACACUCCUAAUCCUCCUGCCUCCCCUCCUCCCCCUACCCUUGUGUUACAAUCACUAGCACGUGCCCCGUGUCUGGCUUGCUAAUGUGCUCUUGAAGUCAAUUUGUAAGUAUUUUAUUGAAAUUGUGGGUCUAUUAAUGGUCUACAGUUUCCUUUUCCUGUAACAUCCUCAUCUGGUUUGGUACCAGGGUAACAUUGGCUUCGGAAUGAGGUUUUUAGUGUUACAUUUUGUGUGUGUGUAUGUGUGUGUGUGUGUGUGUGUGUGUAAUUGUGCCAUGGCAAGUAGUAUGGAGGUCAGAGGACGACUUUCAGGAGUGGGUUCUUUCCUUCUAGGCUGUGGAUUCCAGGAAUUGAACUCAGUCUUGGCAGCAAGCACCUUUAACCAUUAAGCCAUCUCCACAGCCCCAGACACAAGCUCUUAAAGAUGAGAAUUUGGAUCUUAUUCUCUGAAUCUGACUGAAUUCGAACGAAUCACCAGGUCACUGAACCUGUAAUGGCCCCUGAAGGGAUACUUCACCAAGGCAGCUGGUCAGCCUGGAACCUACAGUCACCGCCUCUUUCUAAUUCAAGUCACAGCAGGUCCUGGCAGUGCCACACACACCAAAAGAACCUUGAGAGUUUGUCUGUCUGUAAAAUCUUUGGAACGCAUUCUUCUCAGACCACUAUCUUCCAACAACUGCAAAGCUGAGAAUGUGAAGAGACGCCAUCUGAGAUCCACGGCAGAGAUCUCCCUGCUCUGGUGACGGUUCCCACAAGGUAUUGGGAAGGUGCUUUGGACUGUGGCUUCCUUCUGCUCUGUGACUAAGAAAACUUCAUGGGGCUGAUUCCAUGGCGAAGUUUGUUACUCAAGGUACCUAGACUCUGUCCCUCGGCCAUGACGAUCACAUUUGGCUCAGAAUAAAUGUUUCUGCUUUUAGGUGA